UUAAAAGUCCGUUAGUUUCGUCCCUUUAUGUCGUAGAAAGACGCUGAUUGGUUUAUGUAUUUUCGGGGCGUUUCCUGAUUUCAGAGAGACUGAACAUGAUUGGUCAAAUCUUUUGUCAAUACUUUAAAUGGACUGAAAAUACGUUGUUUUGGAAGUUUGACGAGCGGCGCUAAAACUAAACGAGCGACACAAUCGACUUUUAUUCACGUUAUUUUUACUUCCGGUUGAACGUAAACGAGGUAAAUUGAAUCGGUGUGAUUUUGUUGUUUAAAACGAGCUCCUGUUUGUCUAUAAAUGUCUGUUUUUAUACCUAUAAAUACAUUUUAACUGCGGCUAGACAGGAUAACAGCUAAGCUGCUAACUGUUUACUGCCGUAAAGUAAGACGUCACUGUUCUGAUGUCGUAAAUCCUGUAAUCAGAUUCUUAAAUCCGUUGUAAAAACGAACAUUUAAGGUUUCAGAUGAGGUGUAAUAUGUCUGUGAUGACUUCUGCCGUCAACAUGUAAACAUGUAGUCUAUAUAUUUAUUAUUUUUACAUAUAAAUCUUGGGUCGCGUGCAACCUCCGCGUUUUAUAACGUUAAAAAACAGAUUGCAUGAAAGCAUCCCAGGUGAGUCCUGAUUUUGUUGACGUCACUCUCUACCUGUCACCUGUUUGUGAUGUUUGGCUCCACAGGUCUGAUAUCAGUUUAAAAACACUUUAAAUCAGUGAGUAUAAAAGUUAAAAUGUUUGAAAUGUCUUUCCCUGUUGUGCUUAUCCAUUUCUCUCUGACGAUGUAAACCACAUUUACAAGCAGGGACGAAAAAAACUUCCUCAUAAUACAUUUGUAAUGCUGUAAUUAUCCUUGAUUUGCAUUUCAUUCUGUUCACAGGUGCAGCUCCAAAACCAAAUAUUAGAACACUUGAUGAAACAGAAAACUGGAGGCUGCUGCAGUGUGAAGCCAAUGGUAAUCCACAACCUGAAGUAGAGUGGAGGGACAGUGCUGGAAAAACACUUCCUGCUGAGGAGCCACAGGUCACAGAGAUAGACGGACGUUUCUUCAUCACUCUCAACACAACUGUGACCAAGACUGACCGCUAUCGCUGUGUGGCCACACAGAAGAACAUCAGCCAUCAGAUUCAUGAUGAGACCUCUGUGCGUUUCAAUGUGACUGGUAACAGUGGGUCUGGAGCACACAGCUCAGUGGAGAGGGGUAACCCCGGAUCUGGAGCAAACAGCUCAGGGUCUUCUACUGCAUGGAUUGUUGUUGUAUUGGAGUUGCUGUUGUACUUCUUGCUCUUGUUG